rnacentral:lncRNA from 1 species
UCUAAGAGAGGUUAUAUAUAUAUAUAUAUAGAGCUAGGCUGGUAUACUAUUGGUAGCACGGAGACCUCCGUGCUGUCAAAUUAUUUUUAAUGAUACGGCUUCCAAAUCGACGAUCGGCUCCGUUAGACUUGAUUUACACUAUUAAAAAUAUUUGGAAACUAAAUUUCAUAAUUUUUUGACAUCAUUUGGCUAGUGAUCAAAAUGUCUCAAAAUUAACAAUUUUAAUGAUAGAUGUGAUGCAUUUGUAAAUUUAACGGCGUAAAACAAUCUAAAUCAGAUAACAUUUUUAUAGAAAAUUUGUUUUAUUAUUUAGAGUAAGAUCAGUACCUCUGAUAUUAAAUUCAAGUCUUUUAUCAUUAUUUUUUAUGAGAUUUUUAUUUUCAGCCGUUCAUUUUUAGACUACUCGAUCGUUUGAUAAGUAAAUGAUACUGAAAUAUUAUGAAAUUUAGUUUUAAAAUACUUUCAAUAGUGUAGAUCAAGUUUAACGGAGCCGAUCAGCGAUUAGGAAUCGGCAUCAUUAAAAACAACUUAGUAGCAUAGAGACCUCCUUACUACCGAUAGUAUACCAGCCUAGCUCUCUCUCUCUCUCUAUAUAUAUAUAUAUUGUAGAGUUACUAUGCUAUCGAAAGUAUGGAGAAUUUGAUGCUUUUCGAUUUUUUGAGUCUUUGAUUAAAAAUUAUAUGAUUGGAAUAAUUGCGGUUCCCCUCUAGAGUUGAAUAGUAUUUGUAGGGUUGAGUGGUCUCCACAGAAUAAUAGUAUUAAUUCAGAAGUUAAAAAUGAUGAAAGGAGCUGAUCUAAGGGCCAAAAGUUGAAAUAAUUGCGGUUGAAAUAAGGACUAAAAAUUAUAUGAUUGGAAUAAUUGCGGUUCCCCCUAGAGUUGAGUAGCAUUUCUAGGGUUGAGUGAUCUCCACAAAAUAAUAGUAUUAAUUCAAAAGUUAAAAAUGAUUAAAGAAGCUGAUCUAAGGACCAAAAGUUAGAAGUAUCAAAUUCUCUAUACUUUCCAUAGUAUGGUAGCUCUACUCUCUCUCUCUCUCUUUCUCUCUCUCUCUCUCUCUCUCUCUCUCUCUAUAU